rnacentral:rRNA from 1 species
CAUGGAGAGCUUGCUCUCUGAUGGCGAGUGGCGAACGGGUGAGUAAUAUAUCGGAACGUGCCCAGUAAUGGGGAAUAACUAAUUGAAAGAUUAGCUAAUACCGCAUACGACCUACGGGUGAAAGCAGGGGAUCUUAGGACCUUGCGUUAUUGGAGCGGCCGAUAUCUGAUUAGCUAGUUGGUAGGGUAAAAGCCUACCAAGGCGACGAUCAGUAGCUGGUCUGAGAGGACGAUCAGCCACACUGGAACUGAGACACGGUCCAGACUCCUACGGGAGGCAGCAGUGGGGAAUUUUGGACAAUGGGGGAAACCCUGAUCCAGCCAUCCCGCGUGAGUGAAGAAGGCCUUCGGGUUGUAAAGCUCUUUCGCAAGAGAAGAAAACUUGCUAUCUAAUAAAUAGUAAGUAUGACGGUAUCUUGACAAGAAGCACCGGCUAACUACGUG